rnacentral:tRNA from 1 species
AAAGGGCUAUAGCUCAGUGGUAGAGCACCUCGUUUUUACCGAGAAUGUCUACGGUUCGAAUCCGUAUAGCCCUA